GACGAACGCUGGCGGCGUGCCUAAUACAUGCAAGUUGAGCGCUGAAGGUUGGUACUUGUACCAACUGGAUGAGCAGCGAACGGGUGAGUAACGCGUGGGGAAUCUGCCUUUGAGCGGGGGACAACAUUUGGAAACGAAUGCUAAUACCGCAUAAAAACUUUAAACACAAGUUUCAAGUUUGAAAGAUGCAAUUGCAUCACUCAAAGAUGAUCCCGCGUUGUAUUAGCUAGUUGGUGAGGUAAAGGCUCACCAAGGCGAUGAUACAUAGCCGACCUGAGAGGGUGAUCGGCAACAUUGGGACUGAGAGACGGCCCAAAAUCCGACGGGAGGCAGCAGUAGGGAAUCUUCGGCAAUGGACGAAAGUCUGACCGAGCAACGCCGCGUGAGUGAAGAAGGUUUUCGGAUCGUAAAACUCUGUUGGUAGAGAAGAACGUUGGUGAGAGUGGAAAGCUCAUCAAGUGACGGUAACUACCCAGAAAGGGACGGCUAACUACGUGCCAGCCGCCGCGGUAA
rnacentral:rRNA from 1 species